rnacentral:rRNA from 1 species
GACAGCAGCCGCCGCGGUAAUACGUAGGUCCCGAGCGUUGUCCGGAUUUAUUGGGCGUAAAGCGAGCGCAGGCGGUUAGAUAAGUCUGAAGUUAAAGGCUGUGGCUUAACCAUAGUACGCUUUGGAAACUGUUUAACUUGAGUGCAGAAGGGGAGAGUGGAAUUCCAUGUGUAGCGAUGAAAUGCGUAGAUAUAUGGAGGAACACCGGUGGCGAAAGCGGCUCUCUGGUCUGUAGCUGACGCUGAGGCUCGAAAGCGUGGGGAGCAAACAGGAUUAGAUACCCCUGUAGUCCCUGUCUCUUAUACA